AAGGCAAAAUCACCCAGAAAAACAAGAGCUACCUUACAGAAGAAUGUAUGCGCUUACUUGAAACCUGCAUUUUGUGUAAGAAAGAUCUCAGAGUGAGAACACCUUCUUCUAUGAUGAGCUGUGCACACAAAAAGGGCAAGAAAUGAAAUCUGGAACGUUUUGCUCUCUUCAUAAAGAACCUACUCCAGACUAACAGGCAAGAAUACUGGUGAGGACUGCCAUUUCCUUCUCCAGGGGAUCUUCCCGAUCCAGGGAUUGAACUUGCAUCUCCUGCAUUUGCCGGUGGAUUCUUUAGCACUGAGCCGCCAGGAAUUGUCAAUGAGGAACGAAAAACUGCAUAGACUAUACAUUAAAAUCACUUUAGUUUUUAAGCUGUCAUGAACUGUUUCAAAAAAUGCUAAGUUGCUAUUGUUUAAUGUCUGUCAUUUUAUAAUGCUUUAGAAGUUAUCUAUCCUGUAAAAUUAUUAACUGAUGCUAAAAUUGCCUUGUAAGUAUUAGGACAAUAGCAAUUUUGUAACAGCUGGGACACUGCCAAUGUAAGAUAAGUACAUUUUGCUCUGUAGAUUCAUAAAG
ensembl:lncRNA